ACAGAUAGGCGAGAACUCCGGACGGCGGUAGAGGAUUCGGCGACCGACGGCGGCGAGAACUCCGGACGACGAGACGAUGACGAGCAGCGGCGGCGGCGGCGACGAGCAGCGGCAGCAGUAGGCAAACAGUAGUCCGGCAGGCAGGAGAUAGCAAAGAAAUGUUUUAGAACAGAACAGACGCGUUCUGUCGAUUUGGGGUUUUUAAUAAACCCCAAAACUUACAUGGCGGAUUUCCGCCAUGUAAGUACACUUAAGUGCCGCCAGCACUAAAGUGAAAGUCCGCCCAAUCGAAAUUUGGGCGGGCUUUUUCCGCCUGAGUCCCCGAAUACUUAACAUGGCGGACAUCCGCCAUGUUAAGUCAAUUUAAUCGGGUAAUCGGGUUCAAUAUUGGGGGACAUUCGAAAUUUUGAGCGGGAUAGUUUAGAUGGCGGAAAUCCGCCAUCUAAACACCGCCAUCGAAAAUAAAAUGGAACCGCCGUCGAGCCCAAACCUUUCCUCGGCGGACUCAAAGAAUAGAUGGCGGACAUCCGCCAUCUAAACAACUGAAGUAUUGAUGGCGGAAAUCCGCCAUCUAAAGGCCGCCAUACA
rnacentral:lncRNA from 1 species